AGCAGGACUUACAAAACAACAAAAUGACUUCAAGAUCACUUUAAAAAGUCUCGAAGAUGAUUUACUAAAACGAUUGUCUUCCGCGGGACCAGAUAUUCUUAGUGAUUCAGCUUUGGUCAUUAACUUAGAGACUACGAAGAAGACAGCUGCAGAUAUAGAAGUGAAAGUCGAAGAAGGAAAAGUGACUGCGGUCAAGAUUGAUGAGGCCCGAGAAAGAUACAGGCGAGCAGCUACACGAGCUUCAAUCUUAUAUUUCAUUUUAAAUGAUUUAUACAAAAUAAAUCCGAUGUAUCAAUUCUCCUUGAAAGCGUACAGCGUAGUGUUUAAAGACGCC
rnacentral:misc_RNA from 1 species